rnacentral:rRNA from 1 species
AGAGUUUGAUCCUGGCUCAGAACGAACGCUGGCGGCGUGCCUAACACAUGCAAGUCGAACGAGAAAGCACCUUUGGGUGUGAGUAAAGUGGCGCACGGGUGCGUAACACGUGGGUAAUCUGCCCUUGGGUCUGGGAUAACAUUCCGAAAGGAGUGCUAAUACCGGAUAAGACCACGCCCUGUUUGCAGGGUGAGGUCAAAGGUGGCCUCUUUAUGGAAGCUAUCGCCUAAGGAUGAGCCUGCGGCCUAUCAGCUAGUUGGUGAGGUAAUGGCUCACCAAGGCUAAGACGGGUAGCUGGUCUGAGAGGAUGUCCAGCCACACUGGAACUGAGACACGGUCCAGACUCCUACGGGAGGCAGCAGUGGGGAAUAUUGCGCAAUGGGCGAAAGCCUGACGCAGCGACGCCGCGUGAGCGAUGAAGGCCUUCGGGUCGUAAAGCUCUGUUGGAGGGGAACGAAAAAAUCGAGGGAAUAACACCCCUCGGUCCUGACGGUACUCCUUCAGAAAGCACUGGCUAACUCCGUGCCAGCAGCCGCGUUAAUACGGAGAGUGCUAGCGUUGUUCGGAAUUAUUGGGCGUAAAGCGCGUGUAGGCGGGGCGGCACGUCAAGUGUGAAAUCCCUCAGCUUAACUGAGGAAUUGCGCUUGAAACUGCCGUUCUUGAGUGCGGGAGAGGGAAGCGGAAUUUCCAGUGUAGAGGUGAAAUUCGUAGAUAUUGGAAGGAACACCGGUGGCGAAGGCGGCUUCCUGGACCGUUACUGACGCUGAGACGCGAAAGCGUGGGGAGCAAACAGGAUUAGAUACCCUGGUAGUCCACGCAGUAAACGAUGAGCACUAGGUGUUGCGGGUAUUGACCCCUGCAGUGCCGAAGCAAACGCAUUAAGUGCUCCGCCUGGGGAUUACGGUCGCAAGACUAAAACUCAAAGGAAUUGACGG